rnacentral:rRNA from 1 species
UUCGACCGGGACGAAGCGAGAGUGACGGUACCGGUAGAAGAAGCACCGGCCAACUACGUGCCAGCAGCCGCGGUAAUACGUAGGGUGCGAGCGUUGUCCGGAAUUAUUGGGCGUAAAGAGCUCGUAGGCGGUGUGUCGCGUCGGUCGUGAAAACUUGGGGCUCAACCCUGAGCGUGCGGUCGAUACGGGCAUCACUUGAGUUCGGCAGGGGAGACUGGAAUUCCUGGUGUAGCGGUGAAAUGCGCAGAUAUCAGGAGGAACACCGGUGGCGAAGGCGGGUCUCUGGGCCGAUACUGACGCUGAGGAGCGAAAGCGUGGGGAGCGAACAGGAUUAGAUACCCUGGUAGUCCACGCCGUAAACGGUGGGCACUAGGUGUGGGGGCCAUUCCACGGUCUCUGUGCCGCAGCUAACGCAUUAAGUGCCCCGCCUGGGGAGUACGGCCGCAAGGCUAAAACUCAAAGGAAUUGACGGGGGCCCGCACAAGCGGCGGAGCAUGUGGAUUAAUUCGAUGCAACGCGAAGAACCUUACCUGGGUUUGACAUGCACUAGACGCGUCUAGAGAUAGGCGUUCCCUUGUGGCUGGUGUGCAGGUGGUGCAUGGCUGUCGUCAGCUCGUGUC